rnacentral:rRNA from 1 species
UACGUAGGGCGCAAGCGUUGUCCGGAAUUAUUGGGCGUAAAGAGCUCGUAGGCGGCUUGUCACGUCGGUUGUGAAAGCCCGGGGCUUAACCCCGGGUCUGCAGUCGAUACGGGCUAGCUAGAGUGUGGUAGGGGAGAUCGGAAUUCCUGGUGUAGCGGUGAAAUGCGCAGAUAUCAGGAGGAACACCGGUGGCGAAGGCGGAUCUCUGGGCCAUUACUGACGCUGAGGCGCGAAAGCGUGGGGAGCAAACAGG